AGGAUAAAAAACAUGCAAUUAACCAAGAGUGACCACAGAAUGAAGUUCUCCACAGUAUGUCAUAGUCAUUCAGUGCUAUGUUUUCCUGAGGAGAAAAACAU
rnacentral:snoRNA from 1 species